UACAGAGGGGGCAAGCGUUGUCCGGACUUACUGGGCGUAAAGCGUCCGCAGGUGGCGUAGCAAGUGUUGUGUGAAAGCCCCGCGCUUAACGCGGGGAGGCCACGACAGACUGUUGGGCUGGAGGGGUGCAGAGGGUCGUGGAAUUGCCGGUGUAGUGGUGAAAUGCGUAGAGAUCGGCAGGAACACCAAGGACGAAGGUAGCGACCUGGGCACCACCUGACACUCAGGGACGACAGCGUGGGGAGCCAACCGG
rnacentral:rRNA from 1 species